GUCUCUUAACAUGUUGGUGUUUUUCGCUCUGGUUAAGUCUUUGUCUUAGAUUGUUGCCUUCUAGGUCGCUUUAAUGGUGUGUGAAAGGUGAAAGCUUUAAGCUUCGUUUCUAUCUCUUUGAGAACAAUAAGGAGUGGUGACGAAUUGUGACUUCAAUCUCUUCGUCUCUGAUGGAUUAUAUUUCAUGGAUUCACUUUUGGUGAUAGUCUAGAAGAGAGUAACUGAGUUAGAGGAACAAGCAGAGAGAAUUUGGAGCCAGACUCAUUAAGCUCCUAAGCUUAGAACAGCCGUGACUUUAAGACGUAUCCAUUCUAGUUUUGUCCAGUUUUAUAGCUGGUGCUUACAAGGGAGUUGUAUACUUACUUACUAGCUCAAGCAAAGCAACAAUGUGGUGGACAGAUUACUUCUAAGAUGAAUGGAAUGGUUUGAACAGAAGAAGACAGUAGCAGUAUUGAGAUGGAAUUUAGUGCAUCAAGGCAAGAAGAAUUUGUUUCAAAAUCCCAAACAUACUAAUCGAA